rnacentral:rRNA from 1 species
ACUCCUACGGGAGGCAGCAGUGGGGAAUAUUGCACAAUGGGCGCAAGCCUGAUGCAGCCAUGCCGCGUGUGUGAAGAAGGCCUUCGGGUUGUAAAGCACUUUCAGUCGUGAGGAAGGUAGUGUAGUUAAUAGCUGCAUUAUUUGACGUUAGCGACAGAAGAAGCACCGGCUAACUCCGUGCCAGCAGCCGCGGUAAUACGGAGGGUGCGAGCGUUAAUCGGAAUUACUGGGCGUAAAGCGCAUGCAGGUGGUUUGUUAAGUCAGAUGUGAAAGCCCGGGGCGUCAACCUCGGAAUAGCAUUUGAAACUGGCAGACUAGAGUACUGUAGAGGGGGUUAGGAAUUUCAGGUGUAGCGGUGAAAUGCGUAGAGAUCUGAAGGAAUACCGGUGGCGAAGGCGGCCCCUGGACAGAUACUGACACUCAGAUGCGAAAGCGUGGGAGC